GACGAACGCUGGCGGCGUGCUUAACACAUGCAAGUCGAACGAGUGGCGAACGGGUGAGUAAUACGUGAGUAACCUGCCCUCUUUUUGGGAUAAGCCUUGGAAACGUGGUCUAAUACCGGAUCAAGGGGGAUGGGCUCGCGGCCUAUCGGCUGGUUGGGGGGGUGAUGGCCUACCAAGGCGGUGACGGGUAGCCGGCCUGAGAGGGUGAACGGCAACAUUGGGACUGACAUGAGGCCCAGGCUCUUACGGGAUGGAGAAGUGUGGGAUAUUGCACAAUGGGCGAAAGCCCGAUGCAGCGUCGCUGCGUGGGGGAUGAAGGCUGUAGGGUUGUAAAACUCUUUAGCUAUCGAAGGGGUAGGUGGAGAAGAAGCGCCGGCUAACUACGUGCCAGCAGCCGCGGUAAUAC
rnacentral:rRNA from 1 species